rnacentral:tRNA from 1 species
UCCUGGAUAGCUCAGUUGGUAGAGCGCUUCACUGGAAAUGGAAAGGUCCCUGGUUUAAUGUCAGGCCCAGGCG